GAUGAACGCUGGCGGCGUGCCUAAUACAUGCAAGUCGAGCGAACAGACGAGGAGCUUGCUCCUCUGACGUUAGCGGCGGACGGGUGAGUAACACGUGGAUAACCUACCUAUAAGACUGGGAUAACUUCGGGAAACCGGAGCUAAUACCGGAUAAUAUAUUGAACCGCAUGGUUCAAUAGUGAAAGGCGGUUUUGCUGUCACUUAUAGAUGGAUCCGCGCCGCAUUAGCUAGUUGGUAAGGUAACGGCUUACCAAGGCAACGAUGCGUAGCCGACCUGAGAGGGUGAUCGGCCACACUGGAACUGAGACACGGUCCAGACUCCUACGGGAGGCAGCAGUAGGGAAUCUUCCGCAAUGGGCGAAAGCUUGACGGAGCAACGCCGCGUGAGGGAUGAAGGUCUUCGGAUCGUAAAACUCUGUUAUUAGGGAAGAACAAAUGUGUAAGUAACUAUGCACGUCUUGACGGUACCUAAUCAGAAAGCCACGGCUAACUACGUG
rnacentral:rRNA from 1 species